rnacentral:lncRNA from 1 species
AAACUACUACUAACACAAUAGUUUUUAAUACAUUCUCAAAGGGCAUCAGAUUUAUAUUAUGAUGCUUUACACAAAUCUUUUGAUUCAUAUUUCUACUUUGGCAGGUCCCCCCCACAAGUGUACCUGUAAUUGUAAGAGAAUAUGGGAGAGAACAGGUCUGGAUAUAAAUUAUUCAAAUGCAAAGGCCUGGUAGGAAUGGGUUGUAAGAGAAAAUGGGAGAGAACAGGUGUGGCUAUAAAUGAUGCAAAGGCAAAGACCUGGUAGGAAUGGAUUGUAAGAGAACAUGAAAAUGAACAGGUCUGCAUAUAAAUUAUGCAACGCGAAUGCCUGGUAGGAAUAAGUUUUGAAAUUAUUGUAAUUCAUGUUUAUCGAUUAUUUCCAUAUUGGAAUUAUGCGCCUCUUUGUUAGGAAAUUUUAGACAUUUCUAUAUUCAACUGUCCUAGCGAAGAGAGCAAACAUUUUGCCUCUCCAGGCAGAUUUAGCUAUGUAUUUUCACUCACAACAGUUCUUCUUUCCCUUCUAUUGUUUUUCAAGUUUUGGAUAAGUUGUCUCACAAUUUUUAGCUUGUCAAGUUUUACUUAUACUUAGCUUCGACCCUGAUUCUUGCCCUUUAAUUAUGUAAACCAUUCCCGGAAAGUGCUGGUGAAGGUAUAACUGAAAAAUAUAUUGUGAUUGAUGUAAUUAAAAAAGGGUUACUUGAAAUUUGAAUACAUUAACCCCAGCAUUUCUAAAUUUUUUGGGUGACUAAACCACAUCUAGUAAAUGGUAUAAUUAGGAUGCUUUGUUAC